rnacentral:rRNA from 1 species
GCAUAUCAAUAAGCGGAGGAAAAGAAACCAACAGGGAUUGCCCUAGUAACGGCGAGUGAAGCGGCAACAGCUCAAAUUUGAAAUCUGGCGUAAGCCCGAGUUGUAAUUUGUAGAGGAUGCUUCUGGGUAGCGGCCGGUCUAAGUUCCUUGGAACAGGACGUCAUAGAGGGUGAGAAUCCCGUAUGUGACUGGCUUGCACCCUCCACGUAGCUCCUUCGACGAGUCGAGUUGUUUGGGAAUGCAGCUCUAAAUGGGAGGUAAAUUUCUUCUAAAGCUAAAUACCGGCCAGAGACCGAUAGCGCACAAGUAGAGUGAUCGAAAGAUGAAAAGCACUUUGGAAAGAGAGUUAAAAAGCACGUGAAAUUGUUGAAAGGGAAGCGCCCGCAACCAGACUUUGCGGCGGUGUUCGGCUGGUCUUCUGACCGGUUUACUCGCCGCCGUGAGGCCAUCAUCGUCUGGGACCGCUGGAUAAGACCUGAGGAAUGUAGCUCCCUUCGGGGUGUGUUAUAGCCUCUGGUGAUGCAGCGCGUCUCGGGCGAGGUCCGCGCUUCGGCAAGGAUGAUGGCGUAAUGGUUGUCGGCGGCCCGUCUUGAAACACGGACCAAGGAGUCUAACAUCUAUGCGAGUGUUCGGGUGUCAAACCCCUACGCGUAAUGAAAGUGAACGGAGGUGGGAACUUUUUGUGCACCAUCGACCGAUCCUGAUGUCCUCGGAUGGAUUUGAGUAAGAGCAUAGCUGUUGGGACCCGAAAGAUGGUGAACUAUGCCUGAAUAGGGUGAAGCCAGAGGAAACUCUGGUGGAGGCUCGCAGCGGUUCUGACGUGCAAAUCGAUCGUCAAAUUUGGGUAUAGGGGCGAAAGACUAAUCGAACCAUCUAGUAGCUGGUUCCUGCCGAAGU